UACAGAGGUCCCAAGCGUUGUUCGGAAUUACUGGGCGUAAAGGGCUCGUAGGCGGCCAACUAAGUCAGACGUGAAAUCCCUCGGCUUAACCGGGGAACUGCAUCUGAUACUGGAUGGCUUGAGUACCGGAGAGGAUGGCGGAAUUCCCCAAGUAGAGGUGAAAUUCGUAGAUAUGGGGAGGAACACCGGUGGCGAAGGCGGCCAUCUGGACGGUCACUGACGCUGAGACGCGAAAGCGUGGGUAGCAAACAGG
rnacentral:rRNA from 1 species